UGGGGAAUAUUGCACAAUGGGCGAAAGCCUGAUGCAGCAACGCCGCGUGAGGGACGACGGCCUUCGGGUUGUAAACCUCUUUUAGCAAGGAAGAAGCGAAAGUGACGGUACUUGCAGAAAAAGCGCCGGCUAACUACGUGCCAGCAGCCGCGGUAAUACGUAGGGCGCAAGCGUUAUCCGGAAUUAUUGGGCGUAAAGAGCUCGUAGGCGGCUUGUCGCGUCUGCUGUGAAAACCCGAGGCUCAACCUCGGGCCUGCAGUGGGUACGGGCAGACUAGAGUGCGGUAGGGGAGAUUGGAACUCCUGGUGUAGCGGUGGAAUGCGCAGAUAUCAGGAAGAACACCGAUGGCGAAGGCAGAUCUCUGGGCCGUAACUGACGCUGAGGAGCGAAAGGGUGGGGAGCAAACGGGCUUAGAUGACCCUGGUAGUCCACCCCGUAAACGUUGGGAACUAGUUGUGGGGUCCAUUCCACGGAUUCCGUGACGCAGCUAACGCAUUAAGUUCCCCGCCUGGGGAGUACGGCCGCAAGG
rnacentral:rRNA from 1 species